UGCUCUUCAACUUUGUACUUGUUUGGCUUUAUAAAUAUUUUGAUAUGAGCGUCACUGAUGAGUCUUAUGUAGACGAAACGCGCGUCUGGCGUACUAAAUUGUAGUCCUGGUACCUUUGAUAACUAUUUACACCACUGGGUCGAUGCCACUGCUGGUGGACGUUUCGUCCCCGAGGGUAUCACCAGCCCAGUAGUCAACACUUCGGUGUUGACAUGAAAUUCAAUAAUG
rnacentral:lncRNA from 1 species